rnacentral:rRNA from 1 species
ACUGGGCGUAAAGCGAGCGCAGACGGUUACUUAAGCAGGAUGUGAAAUCCCCGGGCUCAACCUGGGAACUGCGUUCUGAACUGGGUGACUAGAGUGUGUCAGAGGGAGGUAGAAUUCCACGUGUAGCAGUGAAAUGCGUAGAGAUGUGGAGGAAUACCGAUGGCGAAGGCAGCCUCCUGGGAUAACACUGACGUUCAUGCUCGAAAGCGUGGGUAGCAAACAGGAUUAGAUACCCUGGUAGUCCACGCCCUAAACGAUGUCAAUUAGCUGUUGGGCAACUUGAUUGCUUAGUAGCGUAGCUAACGCGUGAAAUUGACCGCCUGGGGAGUACGGUCGCAAGAUUAAAACUCAAAGGAAUUGACGGGGACCCGCACAAGCGGUGGAUGAUGUGGAUUAAUUCGAUGCAACGCGAAGAACCUUACCUGGUCUUGACAUGUACGGAAUCCUCCAGAGAGGGAGGAGUGCCUUCGGGAGCCGUAACACAGGUGCUGCAUGGCUGUCGUCAGCUCGUGUCGUGAGAAG